rnacentral:rRNA from 1 species
CUACGGGAUGCAGCAGUGAGGAAUAUUGCACAAUGGGGGGAACCCUGAUGCAGCAACGCCGCGUGGAGGAUGACGCAUUUCGGUGUGUAUACUCCUUUUAUAUGUCAAGAAAAUGACGGUAGCAUAUGAAUAAGCACCGGCUAACUCCGUGCCAGCAGCCGCGGUAAUACGGAGGGUGCAAGCGUUACUCGGAAUCACUGGGCGUAAAGGACGCGUAGGCGGGUUGGAAAGUCAGGUGUGAAAUCCUACAGCUUAACUGUAGAACUGCACUUGAAACUUCUAAUCUAGAGUAUGGGAGGGGGAGAUGGAAUUAGUGGUGUAGGGGUAAAAUCCGUAGAUAUCACUAGGAAUACCUAAAGCGAAGGCGACCUCCUGGAACAUUACUGACGCUAAGGCGUGAAAGCGUGGGGAGCAAACAGGAUUAGAUACCCGAGUAGUC